UACGUAGGGGGCGAGCGUUGUCCGGAUUCAUUGGGCGUAAAGCGCUUUAAGGCGGUUCGGUAAGUCGGGUGUGAAACCUCCAGGCUCAACCUGAAGACGCCACUCGAUACUGCUGUGACUAGAGUUCGGUAGGGGAUCACGGAAUUCCUGGUGGUAGCGGUGAAAUGCGCAGAUAUCAGGAGGAACACCGGUGGCGAAGGCGGUGAUCUGGGCCGACACUGACGCUGUAGAGCGAAAGCGUGGGGAGCGAACAGG
rnacentral:rRNA from 1 species